rnacentral:rRNA from 1 species
UACGUAGGGUGCGAGCGUUAAUCGGAAUUACUGGGCGUAAAGCGUGCGCAGGCGGUGAUGUAAGACAGGUGUGAAAUCCCCGGACUUAACCUGGGAACUGCAUUUGUGACUGCAUCGCUGGAGUGCGGCAGAGGGGGAUGGAAUUCCGCGUGUAGCAGUGAAAUGCGUAGAUAUGCGGAGGAACACCGAUGGCGAAGGCAAUCCCCUGGGCCUGCACUGACGCUCAUGCACGAAAGCGUGGGGAGCAAACAGG